rnacentral:lncRNA from 1 species
ACACUAAUUUUUUUUUAUAUUUUUAAAAUAACUUAAUGGCAUGAUUGAUUUUAUAUUAAAAAUAUUAGAUGCUUCAAAAGAGAUAAUCGACAUCAUAUGUGAGGUCAAAAUAAUCAUAAAUAUAAAGGCUGAUAUUGAGAAUGGUGAGAUUGGACUUGAUGUGGCGAAUCGUGCGUAUAUAAAAAAUUAAGAGGAGGUCAGGAUAGGGAGGAAAGUGUAAAACUGCUAAAGGUUGGGGAUCAAUG